GUCUCUAUGGAACCUCCCUUUAUGACACACAGAAGCUGCCCUGCACCAGGUGAGAGAGCAUGGCAGGCGGGGUGAACAUUAGCCGUCCUCUUCUCAACUCCUCCUAUACUAUUGUGUGUCCCACCCUUAUCAAAGAAGGCUAUCUUUGGCUAAUUCAUCUUAAAAAUUUGGUAGAACAAGGUAGAGAAUAAGUGUAUAUCACCCAUUCUUCAUAUGUAUGCCUGGGUAAUUUUGAAGGAUAUCAUCUCCAGACACUCUGUGCAAAGAACAGAGGCAAGCCUCCAGCCAGGAGCUCAUGAAAUCAUGAACUGAGGCCUCAGUGCAAUAGCUCAUGAGGAAAUGAAUUAUUUCAACAGCCAGGGUUGCUCUGAAGACUAAAGCCCUGGGAUCAUUCAUUUUAAAAGAAAAGAACGGUGACUCAUCAUUUCAAGCUUUUCAUUCUGGAAGUUGGAAGUACAAGAUCAGAUUGCCAGCAUCAUCAGGUACUCAUGAGGGCCGUCUUCCAGCUUGCAGACUGCCAACUUCUCAUUGUGUCCUCAGGUGAUUUGAUAUCAAAGUAAUGUCAAGUGCUUCUGACCCACUGCAUUAAACGUGUGCUGAGCAGUUGGUGGUAGAAGACAUUAUUGUGAAGGCUGCUCACCACCAAUUUCAUCACUGUUGCUAACUCCAGCUCAUCUAAUCUCUGCAACAUCUGCUACCAGCACCUUCUCUUGCCUCCUUUUGUGAACAUAGUUUUUUCUUCUGGUUAGAAAAUCAGUUCGAACUUCUUGAGUUUUGUGUUUUAAACUCUUCUCAACUGUUCCGAUGAUUGAUGGAUGGCCCAGAGGCGACCUCUUUAUCUCCAGCAACAUAUUUGGCUGUUGGCCCGGUAGAGAGGUACUCCAGAAGCUUGCUGGUUCAUCAUGCUCUCAUCUUUAACCACAACUAUUUAUCUGACUCCUUCCAUCUCCACAGCACUGUGUGAGGGAUCAGUGAUAAGAGACGGUGAAAGACAUGCGCAAAUGGAUAAAUAAUAAGCAGGAUAUGUAGAAUGACACAACAAUUGAUGAGUAAUUUAGGAGAUCCAAUAACUAAAAAAAAAAAGACUGGGGACAAGUUCAUGGAAAGAGUAAUCAACUAAGCCUUAUAACAUAAAAUUGACAAAUAGAGAAGGCAUGCAAUCCAGUAGAAUAGAGUGCAAAAGAGGUAGAAGACUAAUCGUUUCAAGACAUGUUGAGCCACAACAGCAAUAACAUUGUGACAAAAAACGUCGGUGUAGACUGCAGAAGAUCUUCAAUGACGGAUCAAGCUGUAUAGACUUUUUUUUACCCUCAUAUACUGAAUAGUCAUUUAAGGUAUACAGUGCCAACGUAAGAGAGAAAGGUAAACUUUUUUUAACACAAGUUGUAGGCCUUGGAAAGAAGUUUUCCAGUAACAAGAUAACACGAUAAUGUACUGUGGUUAUAAGCUCAAAGUGGUAUAUUUGAUUCAGUGUUCCCAGAACCACCAAAACCUUGGAACCAUUGUUUAGCUAAAGCUACUAGAACAACAGAAUAACCUACUCUGUGGCAUUGUAAAGUAAAAUUAUACUACACACAAAUACUUGACAUAAAAUACAUUUCCAAACUCAAUUAUUAGGGAUAACAUAAGCACAAAAUGAUGCUUUGCAAACAUCAUGUAUCCUAUAACUGGAGAAAAAAAAUUAAUGACAUGAAGUGAAAUGACUGAGUUCUGAAGCUACAUCUCAAUUUAAAUAGCAUAAGCAAUUUAGUAUACAACAUUCUUCAAAAUCAAUUGUUGAAGGUUAACUAUAAUCUACAUACAAAAACAACUUUGUCAACUUUUUGUACGGAUUUUCCUUCUAAACAUAUUUACUUUAUGUGUAAAAUCAAAAAAUUUCCUGAGUUAAAGGCUAAGACUUGACUUUAUGAAUACAUGCCCAAAAAUUGGUGGUGGCUGGUUUCUGUUUUUAUUUUGUAAGCUUAGUAUAAUGGUUGUCCAGAACUUGUAAGCAAUGACCUCAUUUCUAAGCGGACAAGAUGCAAAAGACCAUUUUUACAGAUUAACCAUCUGGUUCCUUUAGGAAGAGUAAUAUUUCAACAGGUUCCUGUAUUUCAAGAAUAUAAAUAAUUAAAAAGAUGAAGAUAUGUGAAAUACACAAAGAAAAAAAUAGAGAAAAUAGCAUUUAAAGCAAAUUAUCCUAGCUCCCUCAAUUAAUAUUUUAAAACCAUGACAAUCAGUUAUUAAUAUAAAUUGUUAAUUUUAUUUAAUACAACAUCAAUAUAAUUCAUACCAUCUUCUUCAACUAGGUGGUCUAUCAUUUUGGAGUUUCUUUCCACCUCUGGAGAAUUGCUCAGGAAAUCUGGCUAACAUACCAAAUAAAUCAAAUGGAUUUAAUGAGAUGGUUUUUGGCUAGUUUCUAUAUUCUUGUAUACACAUGCAUGUAACACAUAAAUGUGGUGCUGUUCACAGUUAGAGGCGCAAGAGAAAAAAGUAGCUUUCCAGUGUUAUUUCAUUGUUAUUAACUAUACAGUAUUCAGGUGCAAACAAAUGAAAAUCCUGUAUAUUCACGCUAAAAUAUAAUAUGUAUCAAAAUAAGCAUAAAAUAACUGUUUUGGAUAGGUCUUAGGAUGCUGCUGUGGCUUAAUUUGCUCUGUUUAUGUUCUCUC
rnacentral:lncRNA from 1 species